rnacentral:rRNA from 1 species
AAACCCAAAGGCGAAAUGAAAGUGAAGGGAACUUCUCGUUUCUGAGGGAGGAUGAGUCGGUUACCCGCAAGGKGCCGCUCCRCACUCCCGGGGCGUCUCUUUMUCAUUGCGAGUGGAGGCGCACCCAGAGCGUACACGCUGAUACCCGAAAGAUGGUGAACUAUGCCUGGCCAGGACGAAGCCAGGGGAAACCCUGGUGGAGGUCCGCAGCGAUUCUGACGUGCAAAUCGAUCGUCGGAGCUGGGUAUAGGGGCGAAAGACCAAUCGAACCAUCUAGUAGCUGGUUCCCUCCGAAGUUUCCCUCAGGAUAGCUUGCGCUCACGUGAACGAGUCUCAUCCGGUAGAGCGAAUGAUUAGAGGCCUKGGGGUCGAAACGACCUCAACCUAUUCUCAAACUCCAAAUAGAUGAGAACUCCGGCUUUCUUGAAUUUUCAUGAAGCCGGGGGCUUGGAUCAGAGUGCCAAGUGGGCCAAUUUUGGUAAGCAGAACUGGCGCUGUGGGAUGAACCAAACGUCGAGUUAAGGCGCCUAAAUCGACGCUCAUGUGAAACCAUGAAAGGCGUUGGUUGCUUAAGACAGCAGGACGGUGGCCAUGGAAGUCGGAAUCCGCUAAGGAGUGUGUAACAACUCACCUGCCGAAGCAACUAGCCCUGAAAAUGGAUGGCGCUGUAGCGUCGUGCCUAUACUCGACCGUCAACGGCAAAGAUGGCUGGUGGGCAACCAUCGGCCGUUAAGCCUUGACGAGUAGGAGGGCCGCGGCGACGUGCGUAGAAGGGUCUGGGCGUGAGCCUGCCUGGAGCCGUCGUCGGUGCAGAUCUUGGUGGUAGUAGCAAAUACUCCAGCGAGGCCCUGGAGGACUGAUGUGGAGAAGGGUUUCUUGUGAACAGCUGUUGCACAAGAGUCAGUCGGUCCUAAGCCCUAGGAGAAAUCCGAAGCGAUGGGUUGCCGUUAAGCCACGUAUUGUGUAGGCACCCGUUUGGGCGAAAGGGAAUCCGGUUCCUAUUCCGGAACCUGGCAGUGGAACCGUUCCAAUUCGGGCCCUCUGAGGACUCGUCGGGGCAACCCGAAUGGACCCGGAGACGCCGGCAGGAGGUUGGGGGGAGAGUUGUCUCUUCUCUAUAAGCGAUCGAGUUCCCUGGAAACUUCUAGCAAGGAGAUAGGGUUUGGAUCGCGAARGAGCACUGCAGUUACGGCAGUGUCCCCAAUCUUCCUCUCGGACCUUGAAAAAUCCGGGUGAGGGCCACGAGGAAACCCCACGCCAGAACCGUACCCCAUAUUCCGCAGCAGG